CCUACGGGAGGCAGCAGUGGGGAAUAUUGCACAAUGGGGGAAACCCUGAUGCAGCGACGCCGCGUGAGUGAAGAAGUAUCUCGGUACGUAAAGCUCUAUCAGCAGGGAAGAAAAUGACGGUACCUGACUAAGAAGCCCCGGCUAACUACGUGCCAGCAGCCGAGGUAAUACGUAGGGUGCAAGCGUUAUCCGGAUUUACUGGGCGUAAAGGGAGCGUAGACGGCAGCACAAGUCUGGAGUGAAAUCCCGGGGCUUAACCCCGGAACUGCUUUGGAAACUGUGCGGCUGGAGUGCAGGAGGGGUAAGCGGAAUGCAUGGUGUAGCGGUGAAAUGCGUAGAUAUUAGGAGGAACACCGGUGGCGAAGGCGGCUUACUGGACUGUAACUGACGUUGAGGCUCGAAAGCGUGGGGAGCAAACAGGAUUAGAUACCCCUGUAGUC
rnacentral:rRNA from 1 species